rnacentral:lncRNA from 1 species
AUGCAUCAUAUUCCUGUGAUAUGGAUACAGAGAGGAGCUCACAGAGUCAUGGCAGGUGGUCACAACAUGUGUGGUUUUCUGGGACAAAGUGGGACAGAGAUGGUCCCAGCCAGCUCUGCAGGCCCCAGGGAGCACAGAACAGCCGAAAUGAAGCCUACUCCAACUGCUCAAUCCAUGUCUGGAUCUGCCCCCUGGGCUGAGGACAAGGACGGGCCUCGGCACCCAGGCCUGUGCUGACCCGGCUCCGGCAGCAGCGGUGCAGGAACAGGAAACCAUUUUUCUCCUCUUCAAGGUUUUGGUGUAAUUUGAGAACCAAGCCCCAUGCAGAUCGGAACACGUUGGUAAUGUCUGGAAAGUAAUUAUGGCAUAUAUUAUUAUUUUAAUAUUUACUAAGUGCUGACAGUACAAUGCCUUUAUUAAAACUUUGGGGGAGGGUGAAAUACGCACCACAAAGCAUGGCGGGAUGAGGGUAGUCGUCUGAAAUUGCUCAUUUAUAUUUCAAUUUUACAGUCACUUUCCUGUGACCUACUUUUAAUCAUACAUUGUUUUCUUUGCGGCUUAAAUCAUGUAAGGUGGUUAAUGAUUUUAAUUUAAAGUUCUCUGAGGAAGAAUGUAAAUAAUACUUCUGCCUAGUGGAGGCAGGCUGUGAACUUCUUAUUGAGAAGCAAUUUAUCACUGUAUUGAAGAGCAAUGGAAGAGGUUUAACUUCGCCAGAAGCUGGAAGUCUUUCUUUUCACUUGUUCUGACCAUGUAAGAGCAAUAUGCCAAGGGUUAUCAGGAGAGCUCUGUGUUAAAAAAUAAAUUGAUGAGACUGGAUUACUUUUGGCCUUUG